UUAAUUAAAUGAAGAUGAGCUCAUGCUGGAGUAGGGUGGACCCUGCACCCAGUAGGACAAGCGUCCUUGUAAGAAGAGGGAAAUCUGGACACACGCAGAGCAGAGACGGAGGCAGAGACCAGAGAUACGCUGCCACAUGCCACAAAUGCCUGGGGCUCCUGGAAACUAGACGGAGCUUCCCCCAGCGGCUUCAGCAGGAGCAUGGCUUGGCCAACACUUUGAUCUUGGCCCUCCAGACUCCAGAACUUUUUUCUAACACUCCCUUUUCCACUGGUGUGUGGUGCAAAAUGAGGCACAUUUUCCAUGGAUGAUGAACAAAGGGAGGAUCCUUUUGAUCACAACCAGGUCACCCCACUUCUAAGCCACUGUGUCUCCAGCCCCACAAGACUAAGGAGAGAGGGCACAGAGUGGCAGAGAAUGAGCCAUGCUGGGACCACUGUUUCUGUAACCUCAUUUUUUGUGUCUAGCUGACACAUCUUCAAAGCAAUGUCAGGUCCUAAACUGUAGCUUGCAACAUGCCUGUUUGCUGGAAACCAAGGCGGAAGUGCUUUUAGACAGUGUUUCCAUGUGAGAGUCCCUUCCCAGCUUUUCUCUGGAAAUGCAUGUUUUUCUGAACUCUGAGUCCCAAGAAAAAUCAUUUGAGACAUCAAGAAAAUGGGGGAAAUGCUAAAAUUGUGUGGGAAUUCAAGCUUAACAAUAAACAUCAAGACAUUUUUGGUAGAAAGGAAUCCACUGAUAUCAGGGAGCAAGAGAAUUGCAUGCUGACACUGGGUCAGAGGCCACGGCCGACAUUUCUGGGAAUCGCUCCCAGAAGGGCACAGAUGAAAUGCUUUCAGCCUCUCAUCAGCCAGUCAGGGCUGUAGCUGCUGCGCAUCAUGAGUGUGUUCCUGGCAUGACUGCUUUUAACAGCAAUCAUUUCAUUAAGUUUUUAAGUGCCUGGCAAUUGCCUGCUUUUGACUGGUGUCUGCUCCAUGGCAUCAUCUGCCUGAAGAAACACUGAUGCAGUGUCGUGCUUGUGUCUGUUCUUCUUAGGGAAUGCCUGAACAGUUCUAUUGACUCAAAGUAAAGAUCAGAAGAACCAAAUGCCAGCAACAGCCAAGUGUAAUCAUCAGUAACUCUGUGUUCUAUCCACAGGUAAAGAACAAUCAUCCUCUUUUUUAUGGGUUUCAAUUUAAAACAUAAUAUAUUUUUAGAAAUGUCUAUUUCCUUUUAUAAUCUCUUUAUGUAAUCUAGAUUAUUCUGGCUCUUGGGUCUUCAUUUAGCUACUGAAAAGAUUUGAUCUCGAGUCAAUGAUAACCACCCCUGACCACCUUCCACCUCCAUCCUCCUAUACCGCCCAGCAUGAAUUCUGGGAACUCAGUUAAAAUGCUUUCUGGAAACCUUCCUGUAUUAGUCUGUUGUCAUGCUGCUCAUAAACACAUACCUGAGACUGGGUAAUUUAUAAAGG